GACGAACGCUGGCGGCGUGCUUAACACAUGCAAGUCGAACGAGUGGCGGACGUGUGAUUAAUGUCUGGGACACUGCCUGAUGGAGGGGGAUAACUACUGGAAACGGUAGCUAAUACCGCAUACCAUCGGAUGUGCCCAGAUGGGAUUAGCUAGUUGGUGGGGUAAAGGCUCACCUAGGCGACGAUCCCUAGCUGGUCUGAGAGGACGAACGGCCAAACUGGAACUGAGACACGGGCCAGACUCCUACGGGAGGCAGCAGUGGGGAAUAUGGCACAAUGGGCGAAAGCCUGAUGCAGCCAUGCAGCGUGUAUGAAGAAGGCCUUCGGGUUGUAAAGUACUUUCAGCGGGGAGGCGUUACCCGCAGAAGAAGCACCGGCUAACUACGUGCCAGCAGCCGCGGUAAUUC
rnacentral:rRNA from 1 species